UACGGAGGGUGCAAGCGUUAUCCGGGUUCACUGGGUUUAAAGGGUGCGUAGGCGGACAGGUAAGUCAGUGGUGAAAUCUCUGGGCUUAACCCAGAAACUGCCGUUGAUACUAUUUGUCUUGAAUAUCCUGGAGGUAGGCGGAAUAUGUCAUGUAGCGGUGAAAUGCUCAGAUAUGACAUAGAACACCGAUAGCGAAGGCAGCUUACUACAGGAUGAUUGACGCUGAGGCACGAAAGCGUGGGGAGCAAACAGG
rnacentral:rRNA from 1 species